AUGCACAAGAGGAAGAAACCGAAGCACGGUGGUUCCGUUUAUGGUCGUGCGUUCAUUCGGAGAGAACGGAUUGAUGCGAACAAAUGGUUGGUGCGCAACUACUUUGCAUCAUCACUUGUUUUUCCGGAGAAUUACUUUCGACGCCGUUUCAGAAUGUCGAAAGACUUGUUCUUUCGCAUUUGCAAUUCCGUGAAGCAGCAUAAUCCAGUCUUCGAGCAGAGAAGGAAGUGUGCCGGGUUGCUUGGCCAUAGCAUUGAGCAGAAGGUCACUGCCGCUUUGCGCAUGAUGGCAUAUGAUGUUCCGGCAGAUUACAUUGAUGACAACUUGGCGAUGGCAGAGAGCACUUCUAUCUUCUAUGUCAAGCAAUUUGCAAUAACUAUGGUAGAAGUGGUCGUGCGUUCUAUCAGUUGA
rnacentral:rRNA from 1 species